GCGGGGAGGCGCGGCGCGCGGCGGCGCCCGGGCCCCCGGCUUACCUGGGAAGGGGGACUUCCAGAGGUGCGCGGACUGCGACUGCUCCUUGGAGCAGUACACCUGACUGUCCCAGCCGUUGGAGAGCGCCCAGUGCUGGUAGCCUUCGACGGGGAUGAGCGCGUCGUGGCGCGGCUCCGGGUGCCCGCUGAUGCCGGGCACCACCGACACGUCCAGCAGGCGGAAGCGCGCGGUCAAGGCGCGGGGUUCUCGCCCUGGCAUAAUCCCCUGGAGCUCACGGAUGGAAGGAACCCGCCGCGCAGCGAGAGACCUGGAUGCCCAGGAUUGCAUCUGCAUUUCCGACUUUUUAGCCACUUUCCUCAAAGCCCCAGUUGUCCGAGAGGGAGCCUUUCGGCUGGCUCCUGCACCUCCACCGCAGGGCAGACAGGGCUAAGAGGAUGUGAUAGCCCCAAAUCACACACACACACACACACACACACACACACACCACUACACGGAGAGGGUAGAGGGAUGCUCUUCAGUGAAAAGUGGAGAAAGAAUAAAAGGAGGAAAAGGAGGGCAAAGGGAAUAGGCUGAUGUUUCAAUAUGCAAUAGAAAUCAACCGCCUCGGAGUGAGAUUUUCAAAGGAAAGGGCGGGAGAUGGGGGGGUGGGAUUCGGUCUAGGCAAGCUCACAAGCCCUUGAUGCGAGCAAGAGCAAGCGCCCUCACAUCGGUGUACAAAAGGAAACGUGGAACGAGAGAGAGUCGGCGGAGCUGCCCCUUUGGAGGGACCUUUCCAGGCGCAACUCUGGGCACGAUGCGGCCAAAAUUUAGCUACAAGAGGAGAGGGAACCAAAGCCUCCUUCAUCAAGAAGACCAGCCAGCGAAGAUGUAGCCCCCCACCCCCCACGCACCCACCAAGAGACUUGGGGGUGUGGGAAGCCUGGAGGAGGGGAAGGUUCAGGGCCAAGGGCAUUAAAAGCGUCUGGAGACUGUCCGCAUACUCUGAACGAUUCCCGGCUCUUUCUCUGGGCUUCCCAGGACAUUCCGCGCCUGAAACUGGCUCCUGGACGGGGGCGCGGCGGUGUGGGCAGCAAAGCCUGGGUGGUUAAUUAACUUUAAGCCUGGGGUCGCUUCUCUCUCCUCCCCCCCCCCCCAAAAUGUGGAUCUCGCUGAGACACAAA